GGGGAUUUAGCUCAGUGGUAGAGUGUUUGCCUAGCAAAUGCAAGGCCCUGGGUUCGGUCCCCAGCUCCG
rfam:Rattus norvegicus chromosome 8, whole genome shotgun sequence.